rnacentral:rRNA from 1 species
UGCCAGCAGCCGCGGUAAUACGGAGGGGGCAAGCGUUGUUCGGAUUUACUGGGCGUAAAGGGCGCGUAGGCGGAAUAUCAAGUCAGAGGUGAAAGGCCUGGGCUCAACCUAGGAACUGCCUUUGAAACUGGUAUUCUAGAGUUCGGAAGAGGAUGGCGGAAUUCCCAGUGUAGAGGUGAAAUUCGUAGAUAUUGGGAAGAACACCGGUGGCGAAGGCGGCCAUCUGGUCCGAUACUGACGCUGAGGCGCGAAAGCGUGGGGAGCAAACAGGAUUAGCUA